ensembl:lncRNA
CUCUGAACAUAAGUGCUUAUUUAAAUAAGACCAAAAAAAAAGUGGUUUGUGUUAGCAAAGAUGUUUUCCCCAGUAAUUUGAAUUAAACUUCAUCUAGUGUUAGUCUUGAUUUUGCAGAAUGCUUCAUAACUUUGAGGGAAGUCUCUUCACUGGCCUUAUGGGGGAACUAAUUUUUUAUGGUUUUUUGAACUCCUUUGCACUAACUAUUCAAUACUGAUUGUUUUAGCUGAUGGCGUUAAGGUGCACGAAGCAUUCUCACAAGCAUUAAGGGCCACGGAUGUUGGGAGAAAAUGGAUAUUGGAAAAUGAGAUAAUGCAGAGAAGUGAGGAAGAGAACUGAAAUGGAACAAAAAAAAAAAAAAAAGUCACGGCUACCACUAGGACCAUAGGCUCAGGAC